UACAGAGGUCUCAAGCGUUGUUCGGAUUCAUUGGGCGUAAAGGGUGUGUAGGUGGCGCCGUAAGUCGGGUGUGAAAUUUCGGAGCUUAACUCCGAAACUGCAUUCGAUACUGCGGUGCUUGAGGACUGGAGAGGAGACUGGAAUUCAUGGUGUAGCAGUGAAAUGCGUAGAGAUCAUGAGGAAGACCAGUGGCGAAGGCGGGUCUCUGGACAGUUCCUGGCACUGAGACACGAAGGCCAGGGGAGCAAACGGG
rnacentral:rRNA from 1 species